CUCAAAGAUUAAGCCAUGCAAGUGGUUCGCUACCCGACGGUUUGAAUAAGUGUUCAUGCUUAACAAUAGCUUUGCAUAACAUACUUUGCAUUUCUAUUCUAAUAAGCACCUUUCACGUAAUGUGGAUUUCCAAUUCUGGAAUCACUUACGCAACUGCAGACAGCUGCUUAAUACAGUCACACUUGUCUUGACUUGGCGCAAAUUGCAUUAUUUGCAUUCUCAUACUAUCAUCAUUCCAUAACAUACUUUGGUYUGUGUGUGUAUGUGUUUUGCUUAUUUUGUAAUCUUUAUACUUAACUUCAGAUUUCGCUUCUUUGAAGCGUACCUGGAAUUACUUCCUUGAAAACCCAUUUGGAUAACUCAGGGAAAGUUUGGCUAAUACGUACGAGGAGUUUUUAGUUUCUUUGUUAAACUUACUUUAUUGUUAACACAUUUACAGUAUUGUUUGUGAGACAUUGAAAUCUCUCCACUUUCGCGGUUACUGGAGCAUUGCAUUUCAUUCCUUCGGGAUUGGGUGCUUUGCAUUUGCAACAUGAGAGACAGUAACAACGCGUUUUGUCCUUCCUUUUGGAAGACAUAGCUGAGCAGACUUGCGAGGAAUCAUACUUGCAAGCAGGUCAUACAAGCAUCUACAGCAUCAAGUCACAGGGUCGGCAAGUGUAUUUUUGAACCUUCAAAGCAGUUACGCAUACGGAAGAGUAGUUUCUGAUCCCAUAGAAGGAGCACCGUACGAUGAGAGACCGCUCUUAGUUCUAAGGAACGCAGCAGGCGCGUAAAUUGCCCAAUGCUAGUCCCCUAAACUAUUUUGCCUUUUUAUUUAAAGUGCAUUCUAAGUUUAAGUGGUACAUAUUAGCUUCUAAGCUUUAUAUACACCCUUUAAUUUAUGAAUAUAACACAAAACUCGUUUUGUGUGUUGCAUAAUACCACAAAAUUUAUUAACAUAUUAUUUUCCUUGUUCACUCAAGUUGAAAUUAUUGUUACUUUUUAUUGAAAAGUCAACAUUUUUCACUGAGGCAGUGACAAGCUGUAACGGUUGAGUAUUAAAAUAUACGAGGGCCUGGCAUUGCCGCCUUCGGGCGUUGCAGUUGCCGGCUCUUUGUGUGCUCAAUUGGAAUGCGGUGAGUCUAAGCAAUUCAGAACCUUUGGUGUGACUUCGGUCGCAUUGAGUAUCCGAACUUCAAGUGGAGGGCAAGUCUGGUGCCAGCAGCCGCGGUAAUACCAGCUCCACUAGCCUAUACAAUCAUUGUUGCGGUUAAGAGGCUCGUAGUUGGAUUGAACAUUAAUAAUUAACAUAUUUUGUUUUUCUAAAACAAAACACAUGUUACAUUAAACCUAUUUAUAAUUAACCAUCAUUAUAACACAAUUUGAUGAUUGGUUUUUUCAUAUAAAGUGUUUAAUUUCAUAUGCUUUUAGAAUAUCUCAGACAAAAUAAUUCCCUUUUUCAACACUGUGAACAAAUCAGAGUGUAUCAAACAUGUCGUAUUUGAUUGUGCAUUGAAUGUUUCAUCAUGGAAUGUUGCACCCUCAAAUGAUUUACUCGAUAUCUUUUGAUAAUCACACUUUGGUAGAAUUCAUUUUGCCUUCUGAGUAAACACUAUUAGCUUUGUAAUGAAGUUAUUUUACUUUUGAAAAUCUCAAUCGAGUAUAAAUCAUUUGUGUCGAUGGGGAUAGUUGGAGUCAAGAGUACUGCUGGGCGAGAGGUGAAAUUCAUUGACCCUAGCAAGACUACCAAAAGCGAAAGCACUUGGCUAGGCUAUCCUCUUUGUGAUUGAAUACUGUAUAACYAAGAGUUGUUUUGGUUAACACCAUUAGCAAUUUACUCUUUUUUUCUGUACAGUGAUUUCAUACACAUUACAAUGAAGAACGAAGGUUGGGGGUUCAAAGAGGAUCAGAUACCCUCGUCGUCCCAUUAAUUACAUCAACGAUGGGCUCUCAAUUGCAUUUAAUUUUUUGCCCUCAACCUGCAAAUUUGGGCUUGUAGCUUGCUCUUCGGAGUAUGCUCGCCUGUUUGUAGUGUUAGUAGGGCAUAUUUGCAGCGUGCGUCAAUUUUAUUGAUUGCACUUGAUUUUCGGAGCUUUGCGCUCAUUUGGUGAGAUGUAAGCACCGGGUCUACUGGCCUUGCUUGAGUCCUUUGUUGGCUCUUGUAUGGGUACAGUUGGACAUUUAUUGGUGUGAGGCACGCUUUAGGCACGCGCUUACUGCAGAAAUGUCUGAGACAUUCCCCUCCGGGGGUAGUAUGCACGCAAGUGUGAAACUUGAAGGAAUUGACGGAAGGGCACCACAAGAACGCGUGGAGCAUGUGGCUUAAUUUGACUCAACGCGGGAAAUCUUACCGGGUCCGGACACUCUGAGGAUUGACAGGCGUUUGUGGUUUCUCCCCUUGUGGGAGUUUCUACUAUAAAUAUGCUAGUCCUUUCAUGAUUGUGUGAUAGGUGGUGCAUGGCCGUUCUUAGUUCGUGGAGUGAUCUGUCUGCUUAAUUGCGUUUCACAAAGGACUUUCUAACUUCCGUUAGUUGCACGGUUGCCCUCGGGUAGCCUGUUGCACUGCGGAGAAAAAGUCCUGAAGGCAACGAACGUGACCGCAACCUCUUGUUGCCUCCUUUUUUAUAAAACAUGAGCUGUAGUUAUGACUUCGGUCAUCUGCUGUUCUGCACGGAGUCUUUGCAAACUAGAGGGACCGCUGACAACUUUUAAAACAGAGGAAGGUUGCGGCAAUAACAGGUCUGUGAUGCCCUUAGAUGUUCCGGGCUGCACACGUGCUACAAUGAUUAUUGCAGUGAGCAUCUAACUUUACAAGACGUGGACUUGUGUUUGAAGACUUGUUCUUCUUACAUAGUCCUGUCACUAACCUGCUUCGAAAGUAAGCAGGUAAUCAAUUCGAAGUAAUGAUUUCCUUUUCGCACAUAUUUAUAUCUCUUGCUUUGCGGCCGUGCCUUCAGCUUGUCUGUUGGUAUUGUUUGUCGCCUUGAGGUAUGUGCUCCAUUAAUUCAUGGUGGGGACAGACCAUUGUUAAUUGUUGGUCUCGGUCUCAACUAGGAAUGCCUUGUACGGGUCUUUGGUUCAACAAACCACCCGGAAUAUGUCCCUGCCCUUUGUACACACCGCCCGUCGCUCUUACCGAUGAACUUCUCUGUGAGUAUAGAGGACUGGCUAGCUAUUUAUAGCAAGCUAUGGAAAUCUACGCGAACAGUGUGGUUUAAAGGAAAGAGAAGUCGAACAAGGCA
rnacentral:rRNA from 1 species